CUCCAGAGAGACAGCUCUGUAAGGCUCCUGGGUUUAGCUUUUGCAUGCGGUAAGUCUGUGAGUGUGAAUGAAGAUUAACUCUUUUAUACAAUGUCUUAAGCUGGCAUGAUUGUAUAUGACACUAAGCAUUUAAGAUGUGCUACUGCUUUCAGGCAUUUAAUGAAAAAUUAACUGUAUUCUGUGACCAAUUAUAUUUAAAGGAGACAUCAUGCCAAUUAAAUUAAGUAUAUUACAAUAUAUGACAGUAUAGAGACAAUUUCAGAAGAUAAGGUUUCGCAGUGCAGCAAAGCAAUAAGUCACCCGAGCAUUUCACUUUGUGAUUGUUUUUCUUAUAGAUGUAUGUGGCGAAACCGGCCUCGCCACAUGUCCUUGGAGGGGGCUGCUUGCCCGCCUCUUGCCUUUGGACUAUGGACCAGACUUUAUGUGAAUGUGUUAACCCAGAUAGCUAUGCCAUGGAGCCCAUUCGUGUAGUUAAAGACUUCGGCUCCAUGGCAAUUGAACUGUGUGAAUAGGAUCUGAGCGCUAUUCGGUAGUUUUGUGCGCUCAGAUCCCAGCUAUCUGGGGAUAUGUGAAAUGUCUGUGUGUUAUGUGUAAAAAGUGACUUUAUGUAUUUUAAAGUGUUUUGUGUCUUUUUGCAACCAUGUGCUUAAUGGAGUCUUGUGUCUGUCCUGGGAGAUAAUUGAAUUACUCUCCAGGAUAGAAGACUCUGAAACUGGUUUGGGCCAGAAAGCCAUGCUUCAUUUAGUCACAAAGGACUUUCCCUUAACUUUUGAACCCCUGGUCUGAUUCGUGCCAUUUUUAAUAUGUUGUUCCCCUGAAUGGAUUGAUUAUGAAAAUGUAUGUUUUAUGUUUGUGACAUGUAUAUUUUAGAAGUUAUAAAUGUUGUGUAAAAACUGUAUUCCUCUGCCGGUGAUAAUGAGAUUACCCAUUGUGUUCAGUAAUCAUAUCACCUGCAGAGGGGAGGAUUUUGUGUGGGAGUGUCUGGGUGUAUUGUAUGGAUUGAUUGGUUGUUUUGUAACGCCCUGUGGGCUGUACUAUGUUUGUGGAUUGGGAAUAAAAGAGACUGUAUGUGACAGUACAGAGAGUUCCUGUUUAACCCUCAAAGUGAAGUGUCGUCUCAUUAUUGGGGGAAGGAUUUAUUGUAUGCUGUUCCAGUUUGACUGCUAGGAGAGUAAACCUAUUCGUAUGGUUCCUAUUCAACUGUCUACAGCAUUCAUAUGCUUGGGAGAAUUUAUUUGUUGCUCCGGUUCGGUGGUUUUGGUGUCUGCUGCAGUGCUUGGAGUCCUCAGGAAGUGCUAGGAGCAUCCUUCAACGGAGGUACCCAGUCGGGGUGCCAGGCGAUCCGUUACAAUGUAUUUAAUUCAAAAUUUUAAAACAUUCACUAAUCACCCCAUUCUUGUACGUUCCCUGACCAGUGUUAGAAAGUGUGAAAUGUUGAGUUACUUACAUACAAAUCAGGGGUAUUUACUACAGUGGAAUUGUUGGGAAUUCAAAGUGAUUUGUACAUUUUCGGUCCAAUAGAACUGAACGUAAAACACUGUAGCAUUAUUCAAAGUGGGCUAUGUUUACCUACAGGAAUAUUUACUAAAGUGAAAAUUCACAGUCAAAUUCAGUUGUAAGACCGAGUAGCCAAAGAGAAAGCAUAGCUAACUUUUUCCAUAUUAGCAGGUUUAUUUACUUAAGUGAAAAUUCAAAGUGAAUUUAACCCCUUAAGGACACAUGACAUGUCAUGAUUCCCUUUUAUUCCAGAAGUUUGGUUUUGUCACUUUUGUUUCUGUCCAUUUGUUUCAUGCUGCCUGUGUCAGUCACGUCCACCCCUCUCCUGGCUGUGAUUGACACAGGCAGCAUUAAUACAAAUUGUUUCAUUUUCAAUCAGAUCUUAACCCCUUAAGGACCGAGGACGGUUCAGGACCGUCAUCGGCAUUUUUGCGUUGCCCACCGAUGACGGUCCUGAACCGUCCUAACGGUCAGAGUUACUUACCUGAUCGCCGUCGUUCCCCCGGCGGCGAUCAGCGUGGCUCCGGUUGUGGGGAGACUGCCUGCAGCCCAGACAGUCUCCCCACGGCAGAUUAGGACCCCUGUGGCCAUGUGAUCGCUUAACACAGCUAUCACAUGGUCACAAUAGGUGUCCAUAGUGCUGCCUGCAGGGGGACUGUCUGUGCUGACAGGCAGUCUCCCUGCUAGUGUAAAAUCAUAAAAUAAAAUAAAGUUAAUGGUAAUAAAAAAAAUAAUAAUAAUUAUAUAUGUGUAUAUAUGAUAUAUAGACAUAUAUUAUAUCUAUGUCUAUAUAUCAUAUAUAUAAUGCCAUACUAAGUGUAUUUUUAUAUUAAUAUGUACUUAUAUUAAUAUAAAAUACACUUAUAAUUAAAUUACACACGUAUAUAUAUAAUAUAUAUAAUAACUAUAUAUAUUGUAUAUAUAUAUUAUAAAAUAUAAAUAAUAAGUAAUUUAAAUUAAAUAAAAAUUUUUUAAAAUAAUAAUAAAAAAUUAAAAAAAAAAUUAUAUAGCUAUAUGAAAUUUUAUUCUAACUGUAUUUUAAAAUUAAUAUAUAUAUAUUUAUAUCAAAAUACACUUAGAAUGAAUUUGUAUAUAUAUAUCUAUGUAUAUAUAAAUAAAUAAAAAUAAUACAAAAUAUACAUAUGUCCAUAUACAAAAUUACAUAAAUAAUUAUAUAAAUAUACACGUAGACUUUAAAUAUAUAAAUAUGCACAUAUAUUUAAAUUCUAUGUGCGCAUUUAUGUAAUAUUUUUACAUAAUUAAGUCAUUUUAUUGAUUGCAAUUUGAGGGACCUGCCUGCCAACCCAGGCCGAAAGUCCAGAGAAUUUAAUUUGCUAGCACUAUUUUACCCUGCAACGUUCUACGACACCCUAAAACCUGUACAUGGGGGGUACUGUUUUACUCGGGAGACUUCGCUGAACACAAAUAUUAGUGAUUCAAAACAGUAAAACAUAUCACAGUGAUGAUAUUGUCAGUGAAAGUUACUUUUUGUGCAUUUUUCACACACAAACAGCACUUUUACUGAUGAUAUAAUUGUUGUGAUACGUUUUCCAGUUUUUUAAACACUAAUAUUUGUGUUCAGCGAUGUCUCCCGAGUAAAACAGUACCCCCCAUGUACAGGUUUUAUAGCAUUUUUAAAAGUUACAAGGUCAAAUAUAUGGGUCAAAUAUUUUUACAUUGAAAAUGGCCAGGUUGGUUACGUUGCCUUUGAGAGCGUAUGGUAGCCCAGGAAUGAGAAUUACCCCCAUGAUGGCAUACCAUUUGCAAAAGAAGACAACCCAAGGUAUUGCAAAUGGGGUAUGUCCAGUCUUUUUUAGUAGCCACUUAGUCACAAACACUGGCCAAAAUUAGCGUUCAAUUUAGUUUUUACUUUUUUCACACACAAACAAAUAUGAAUGCUUACUUUGGCCAGUGUUUUCGACUAAGUGGCUACUAAAAAAGACUGGACAUACCCCAUAUUGAAUACCCUGGGUUGUCUACUUUAAAAAAAAUAUGUACAUGUGGGUGUUAUUCAGAGAUUUAUGACAGAUAAUAGUGUUACAAUGUCACUAUUGAUAAAUUUUUAAAAUGUAUGUUUUGAAACCGCAAUAUCCUACUUGUACCUAUAGCCCUAUAACAUGCAAAAAAAAGCAAAAAAGCACGUAAACACUAGGUAUUUUUAAACUCAGGACAAAAUUUUGAAUCUAUUUAGCAGUUUUUUUCAUUCGCUUUUGUAGAUGAGCAAAAGAUUUUUCAAGUGAAAGUCAAAAAACAUGUAUUUUUUUAAAUUUUUCAUCAGAUUUUUGUAUUUUUUUUAAAUAAAAAUACAUGAGAUUAUAUAAAUAAUGGUAUGUGAAGAAAGCUCCUUUUGUCCUGAAAAAAACAAUAUAUAAUUUGUAUGGGAACAGUAAAUGAGAAAGCGGAAAAUUACAGCCAAACACAAACACCACAAAAGUGUAAAAAUAUGCCUGGUCGCAAAUGUACAACAUCGCAAAAACAGUCCAGUCCUUAAGGGGUUAAAGCUUACUUUAUAUGUCUUUAUCUCCUGCUCGGUUAAUUGAAUGCUAAUCACACAUAGGAUGCUCCUGCUGCCUCUGGCAAGCUAUUAACAGAGCAGGAGAUAAGAAAUUUGAAAUGAAACAGGAGGUGCAGUAAAGGAAGUUUAAACAUUACAUCUCUUUACAGGAAGUGUUUAAGAAUACUGAGUAAGGGAGGAAACAUAGAAUGUGACGGCAGAUAAGAACCAUUCGGCCCAUCUAGUCUGCCCAAUUUUCUAAAUACUUUCAUUAGUCCUAGCCUUAUGCCUAUCCCACGCAUGCUUAAACUCCUUUACUGUGUUAACCUCUACCACUUCAGCUGGAAGGCUAUUCCAUGCAUCCACUACCCUCUCAGUAAAGUAAUACUUCCUGAUAUUAUUUUUAAACCUUUGUCCCUCUAAUUUAAGACUAUGUCCUCUUGUUGUGGUAGUUUUUCUUCUUUUAAAUAUAGUCUCCUCCUUUACUGUGUUGAUUCCCUUUAUAUAUUUAAAUGUUUCUAUCAUAUCCCCCCUGUCUCGUCUUUCCUCCAAGCUAUACAUGUUAAGAUCCUUUAACCUUUCCUGGUAAGUUUUAUCCCGUAAUCCAUGAACCAGUACAAUGGCAUGAGCACUUCCCUCUUUCUACUGCUAAUACCUCUCCCUAUACAACCAAGCAUUCUGCUAGCAUUGCUGCUCUAUUACAUUGUCUGCCUACCUUUAAGUCAUCAGAAAUGAUCACCCCUAAAUCCUUUUCCUCAGAUGUUGAGGUUAGGACUAUCAAAUAUUCUGUACUCUGCCCUUGGGUUUUUACAUCCAAGAUGCAUUAUCUUGCACUUAUCCACAUUUAAUGUCAGUUGCUGGGGCUGCAUAAACUCCUAAAUGGCAGAUAAUUGUGCAGUGAGACAGCAGGGACAUGAUCUAUACACCAAAACUGCUUCAUUAAAGCAGCUCUGUCAAAGUUUGUGGACUUAGCUGAAUUCGCAAAGUCCCUCCACAGUGACAUCGCCACUGGUGGUCUGGUGGCCAGGGGAGGCAGGUAAAGGUGACUGCUGCAGAAAAUUAGGUGGAGGAGAAAAACAGAGACAAAGUAGUCCCUAAUGUUCAGAAAAAUUCCAACACAGCCAUAAUGAGUACUUCAUAAAGAUUCAACCUUUAUGACAUACAUGUCUCUCAGUUGGUGUGAGGGGAUACUGGGUGUGCCCCCAAUUACCUGGUGGAGUUAACCCCUGAGUGGCAAUUAUUGCAGUUUCUUGGACAUGGGACAUUGCACCCAGACCAACUUCAAUGAGGUGAAGUGGUCUGGGUGCCUAUAGUGUCCCUUUAACACACAUACCUGGGAAAUCUGUCCUCCUGGGGCUCUCUGCAUGCCAAGGCUGAAUAGAGCCCUGGAUUGAGGCACCUGUGACAGGGAGGAGUGCCAAACCAUAGAGUUGGCCUGGACUCUGAAAUAUAUUUACAUACAAUAGGGCUGCACUCACCUGAACAGGGAUACAUUAUAGGAGGAAGGAUUUGCCCAAUCGGAGCAAACCAAUAUUUUAUCACAGAAAUGCACUUUGCCUCAGUAUCAAGUGAGAGAAAUACUUAAUAGGUGGUUGUCUGAAAACACUGGGUUUUGUGCUAUCCAAACUAAACAGAAGCACUUACAUAAUCCCCACUGGGGCCAGGAGCAUGGAUCACAUACAGUAAACAAGCAUUUUACACCAUGCGGUAAUCGUUUCAUUAGUAAUACAUAACUUUUCAUAUCUCCCCAAGGUGUAAAGGCUUCUUCUCUCUUCCAUUUCAUUUCACCCUCCCUCUUUUCUAACUCAGUUCGCCCUCCCUACUUCUGUCUCAGCUCUCUCUCUAUACAUGAAAGCUAGUUUUUUUCUUUACUGACUUUAGGCAGUUCAUGUGUUGUCUAAAUUCAUUCUCAAGAUACUGCAGCUUGGUGCAGCUGUGCAAUAACAUUAUGCAAGCUUGAAGUCGUUUAAUACCCUACAUUAUCAGAGAAAUGGAUGCAAUAUUCUGAGAAAACAUGUAAAAUACAGAUAAGGUUAUUCACUAAAUUAUGAAGGAAUUCACCAGUAAAUUGCAAAAUUUAAAGGGACGCUAUAUGCAUCCAGACCACUUCAGCUCAUUGAAGUGGUCUUGGUUCAGUGUCCCAGUCCCCCUUAGCCCUGUAAUGUAAAUCAUUGCAGUUUUUGUUAAACUGCAAUAAUUCCAUUGCAGGACUAAGACUGCUUCUAGUGACUGUCAAUCAUACAGCCACUAGAGGCCCUUCUUGCUUGCUAUGCGACUUUUGGUCGCCUAACUGUUGCUGGACAUCCUCACACACUGCAUGAGGACAUCCUGCUUCCGUUAAAUCCCCAUAGAAAAGCAUAGCAGCAAUUCUUUACUAUGGGGAGAGCUUAAUGCGCUAAGAGAAGACAGUGAAAAAAGAAUUGCAAUAGAGUUAAAGGCAAAGCUAGAAAUAGAGUUUGUUUGCUUUUUCUCUCCUAUUCAGCAUUUUCAGGGUAAAAUUAGACAUUUCCUAAUGAAUUCACAACAAUUUACAAUUUAGUAAAUAACGCUGAGUAGGUUAUUUACUAAAUGGUGACCUGCCGGCAAUUCAAUGAGGAAUAGCACAUUUUAGACCAAAGUAGAUGAGCUGGAAACAGAGCUUACUUUGAGAAUAUUUUCCAGUUGGUAAUUUUGGACAAAAAUAUGAAAUUUCCAAAAUUCACAGUUUAGUAAAUAACCCUGACAGUUCGUCUGUUCGGUUAAAAGGUUUCAUGUGGAAUGCUUGGGUCCGAAAAUGUCCCCUUUGCCUUGUGGCAAAAAUAGUCCUAUCUAGUGAGGGAACCCACCUGCAAUCAAAUAGUUGAUAGUGGAAAUGUCAAUGUGACGCCUAAUGAAUCAACGCUUAGAUAUAAUAUGAGCAUGAUUAAUUAAUAUGUCUUAUUAAUUAUGUAUGCGAGUCUGUUAAAUGAAUAUAUCAAAAAGUCAUACAUAAAUGCAUGACACUCCAGCUGUUGUGAACUAAACAGACAACCAAAACACAAAUAUCUGGGAUACAGCUGAAACAAAUCUAAAAGGAACAUAAAAUAGAUAGAUAGUGAAGUACAGUUGACACAAUCAAUUAUGUGCUAUACAUAGAUGCACUCACAAGAUUGUGUAGAAUGUAUCUCUCUUAGGGUGCCUCCCCUGAUGUAGUGGGGGGCUAGUAAUCCCUUCCUUCAUUUGUGAAGUAACCAGUGGUAUUCAGGACUUCAAACGGGUGAUGGUAGAAAAUCGGUUAUUUUAAAUGUCAGGACCAAACCAUUCUCUUCUUAUAUUUUAUUUUAUAUUGAUGGUGAUUGUUCACCUUUUUUAUUAAUAAAAAUAACCGAUUUUCGGGGGCGGGGCCUGCCCGCCAUGCUGACCGGUCGCAUGAGGGAGAGGCUCCUGCGGAUAUAUGGCCUUUUCGACCGAUGGUCUGGGCUUACAGCCUAGAUUAGAGCCGGAGGGAAACAGCAAGGUGCCGGAGCUGAAGCUGGCGCAACAGCGGGCUCCAAGAUCGGGAGUUUUGGGGCCCCACAGGUCCUACAAGGCUUUGGAGCUUGCGGCCUCCACGUGAGAGAGGCGGGAUGGACGGCCGCCACCCUGCCUACUUGCCUGGCAGGCCGCCACAUGACAGCUCUGGGGCACACCUCACAGGCCCCUUCCCCCCCCCCUGGACCGGGGGGGAUAUCCCGGUCCCCACUGGGGGGCAACGAAGCUUCCACCACCAAAACCUGCAGAGCGCACUCCGAGGCCCAGAACCUAAAAUGGCCGCCAAACUGCCUCUCGGCUAUCUGAGCAGCACUUCACCCCCUAAAGGGGACUGGAGCUCCAGCGACCAGGCAACCAGCAACGGGGUACACCUGCCCAACCCUCAACCAAGACAACAAGGCAUCCCAACAGGGUAGUGCUACACAGUCCCCAGCUGCCCACCUGCCGCAACACACCCAGAACAGGAGAGACAAGUGCGGGCGCCAGCAAUAAGGCGAGACAGGAGACCACGACAUGACCAGCACCGGGCACUGAUGAUCGGCUCACCGACACACUACACCCUGCGUUGUCACAUGAGCACAGCAAACACACCCUAACCCAGGAAAGCAGGCAUACCUCUCAGCCCACUGUCUCCAGCAGCCCGACGGAGCAGGACAAGGGGAACGGAGCGACCUAGAUGCAGGGACCCAGUGGAUACAAACAGUUUGCAGAUCUGUGACUCUCACAUUUAUAAUGCAUUUUUACUGCUCUAACACACAUAGUUUGCCAUAUGCUUUGCUUUACUUGUUUCUAUGCUACAUUCUAAUUCUCUUGCAAAUACUAUGUGAAGUUGAUGUAGGCAAAUGUAAUAAGCAACGGUUAUAAGCAAAAGUUAAAAAUUCAGAGGUUAUAUGCAAAUAUAGGAUCUCCAGCUACUUAAGUGACCACAGCGAUGACUCAGCUAGCAUGUACCAAGUCUUGUGGAUCUAACCACCUACUAUAGCCAAUCUAGCAACGUCAAGCAUAAACUGUUAUACACUUGUUUCAUUUAAUUUAACUCUGUUAGUUAAGCUACUUAACAAGUUUUUUAAUCCUAUUAUUACUGCUACUCGUUGAAACACAACAUUGUAAGCUUUCCAGUACUUGCAGGAUGGUGAUCCUAGCCAUAGAUGGUACGAACUACAGAACUUCCCCUGCAUAAAGCAUAUAUGAGCUUAGCCUGUAACGCAUACUUCACUUAAUCAUAAAAAUGCGCAUUAAUCCUACAGCUAAGUGACCUCUAUGUCUUAGAUUACUGUCAUGGCAACAUAACUACAAUAUGAUGUGCAAAAAGUUGAGUUAAACGAAAUCUUAAGCUAACAUGUUAUACCAUUCAGCAACACCUAUUAGCUUGUUAUCAUUACGCAAUAAAAAAAAAAAAAAGUGCUACCUAACCCCCACCUAACCCCCACUGUAACUAAUGUCUUUACAUUAGCAUAUGGAAUGCUGUUGGGGUACCAUAUGUAUACCUGUAACCACUAUACGCACUGCAAAAAUAAAGAAUUAAAAAAAAUUUUUUUUUUUAAAUAACCGAUUUUCUACCAUCACCCGUUUGAAGUCCUGAAUACCACUGGUUACUUCACAAGCGAAGGAAGAUUUAGAUUUGUUUCAGCCGUAUCCCAGAUAUUUGUGUUUUGGUUGUCUAUACAUUGAAAAGGUCGUUUUUUCUGGGUAUCGAUCUUGGGAGGCUGUAUUGUAACUUUAAGUAUUUGUAUACUUUAUAUUCCACUACAUUUAUUAACCAUAGUAGUGUCUAUAUUGUGUUGUGAACUAAACAUACUCUGCCAGCUUCUCUAUGGAUUUAUGUUUAGCAGAAUGGUGUGGCUAUGCUUUAUAUAGCAAUGUAUGGAGUAUAUAUCCCAGCCUGAACAAAGGGCUCCAGACAAUAACACUGCAGUUCUGUUACCUAUGCCUUUGCGUCUGACCCAAAAUAGGAUGGAUGGAUGGCUGUCUAUAAGAAAGUUAGAAUGAUGGUAAUAGUAGAACGCUGACCGUGGAAACAGAAUGCUAUGGAGUAAAUUGAUGAGGUGGAAACUGGGUUGAGCUCAAAUGACUUCUAUAAAUUAAGUAGAAUGUGAAUAAUUAAAACCAAAAGAGUCUGUUUACCAAAGCAACUACUUUACAGCAUUGUUUAGGGAUGUGGCUAGGCUAAUAGAACUAAAGAGUGAAUUUGCCGCUACAUGCUAUACAGAGGAUCAAGGAAAUGAAAUUCACCCAUGGUGAAUUAACUAAACUAAAAGAAAAACUCACUAAGUUUGGGAAAGAUUCAUGAUCAAACAGCCACUCACCAAAAUCCUUGAGUAGCCCUACUUGUAUUACACUGGGCAGAGACUUAGCUAGGUCACUUGGCACCAGGAGGGAAUUCUGUCCACCCCCUCCCCUGAAUUUUCUGUGUGUCGUUUUCAAGUCUAUGCUUUACUUUGUGUGUUUCUCCUAAUAGCUCUCUAAACCUUGUGUUUUAAAUCCUCUGUUUCUUGUGUCUCCCUUAACCCAGACUACACCUUCUCUUCUGUAUCAAUUAACUAUAACCGGUUUCUUAACUCUCUUACCCUUUUUUUGUUCCUCAUAUACUUAUACAUAUAUGUAAUCAUACAUGCAUUCACAUACAAACAUGGACACACACAGUCAUAUACACAGACAGACAACCACACACAGUCACAACAAGAAAUGUGUUUGGUCGACUGGUCGUGUACUCCUGCUCUGGAGCUCCAGUUUAAACUUUAUAUUCGGCUGACACAUUUGCUGCCACAGUAGUGCCAGCAGCAUUUUUUUUUUUGUUGGUCAUAUUUCAUAGCAUUACAUGAUUAUAUACACAGUCACUUAUACAUACAUAUACCUAGACACAGUCACAUAUAUACAGACACACAGGGUCAUACAUCCAGGUGCACAGUCAGAUAGACACGGUAGUCAGAUGCACACAGACAGACACAUACACUAUGUUGCAGUUACACACACAUACACACCAUAUAUAGUCAAUGGUACACAGUCAUACACAUAGUUACAGACACACACACAGGGACCACACACAUAUUUACAGGCAUACAGUCACAAACAGUCACAGUCACUGUUACAAGAACACACUCAUUAAGUUUGGGAAAGAUUCAUGAUCACAUACAUUUACAAGUACACACACCGUUACAGUCGCACAACACAGUUGCGUACACAGUCACCAAAUCUGCCUCCAAGGUAUUACCUUAGUAGGUGAGAGGAGCUGAGGGUGGAGCACAUUACCUGGUGUCUAGUGGUUGGGGAAAAAGGGACUGCUUCCACCUCUGCAUGCGGCUGUUUCCAGUAAUGCAUAGCUGGGUCUGGGCUGGUGGGGCGAGUCUCCGAGGCUGUUGGUUCGAAGGACUGGUGGCGCGGCGUCCCUCUCCAUCCAUAGCCCAGGGCACAUGCUAUCCCAGGCCAGCACAGCACCGCACCGCACCCCAGUUUUGCUGCAGACACUUGGUUGUCUAUUUUUACAAAUGUUACUAUAGGGUAAUUUUAUUUCCUUGGCAGCUAUACUGUGCCAUAUGUAAUGUAGGCUCAGGAAAAUCUACCAGUAAAUUCUCCCAGUUUGGAGAAUUUUUCAAAUUUGGCUAUUUUGACCAUAAAUUUAAAAUUCUGUUUGGAUUUAUUAUAAAUUAAUACAAAUUCCCACUUUAGUGAAUAGCUAAUAUUCUAAGCCUGAUUGCUGCUCAUGCACUUUGAGUCUCAAUUAUGCUCUAUACAAGUGGAGUCGAGCUAACUAAGUUAACAGGGGGCGCAGGAGAUGAGUUAUACAUAAAUGUAAUCAGAAUGCCAGAGUGUCCAUUUUCUUUCAAAUGUAUAUUAAAGAUUUAGCAAUUAAUAUUGUAUUAGAGAAGGAGGAGCACAAAACAUUUUUUCUCAUUCUCUUCCUAUUUUAUCUAGCGACAAGUGCAGAUUUAGAACAAUGAUUGAAAGAGUCUCCAAACAAUUUUUACAGACCUUAGAUACAAAUUUUUUUUAAUAUAGAAGAUAGGUAAAUAUAUUAUUAAAUGCCUUGGAAUGUAACAGUUUUCCUUUAAAAUAUGAAAUAUUUAAUGAAGCAGUUUUGGUGUAUCGAUCGUGCCCCUGCAGUCUCACAGCUCAAAUCUUUGCCAUUUAGGAGUUAGUUCACUUUGUUUAUACAGUCCUAGACAAACCUCCCUGCAUGUGACUUACACAGCCUUCCUAAAUACUUCCUGUAAAGUGAGAUCUAAUUUUUAACCCUUUAAGGACCAAACUUCUGGAAUAAAAGGGAAUCAUGACAUGUCACACAUGUCAUAUGUCCUUAAGGGGUUAAACUUCUAUUAUUGCACAAUCUGUUUAAUUCAGGCUGUUAACAACCUCCUAGACCAGCGAUGGUCAAAAGGUAGAUCCCCUGAGGUUGUAGAACUACAACUCCCAUGAUGCUUUUCAUGCCUUUAGAACAGCAAACCUUUAAGGCACCUCUCUUCUAGACCCCUAUAGGAGCCUCCUGUGUGUGAUUUACAGAACAAGAGAUAAAAUCUGAUUUAAAAUUAAACCAUAUUUUUUGCAGGCUGAGUGAUUUACAGCAAGAGGAGGUGUGGCUAGAGCUGCAUGGACAGAAACAAAAGUUAGUGAACUAAAUGUCAGAAUUUAGCUGUGAGACGCCACGGCAUAGAGCUAUACACCAAAACUGCUUAAUUAAGCUAAAAUUGUUUUGAUAUCUAUAGUAUCCCUUUAAGUGAUUCAGGGUGUCUUUUUUCAAAAUGUAAAUGUAUAACUCUAUAUUAGUCCAUAGUUAGCAAUACUAGGUGUCUGCUUUAACAUUAUUGACACACUCAAUAUCACAGCAUAGAAAUAUUCAUUAAGAGUAUGGCACAUAAAAACAUCUAUUCAGAGGCAACUGAUGAAAAUGUAGCCUAAAAACCCAAAUCCACCAGUCCGAAUUCUUCAGAGAAAUCAUAGUGCAAUGCUAAAAUGCUCCUGUACUCUCAGCCUCCGAUGGUGGCUGCAUGACAUAGUAACUGUAAUCAAACUUUAGCUGGUAAGAACCUUUGUUUUAAGUGUAUCUUCUACCAGACACAGCAAUAGCAUCAUUUUGUUAUACAACCUAAACAUUUUCAGAUAAAUGUUUAUCUUUCAAAUUAACGUUCUUUCAGAAUCCCACCCCGAGAAAGCUAAAGAGCUCUCCUGUGCUUUCACAACACAGUUGUAAUUAAGUUAAAUAGCAUUCUUGCUCAUAAAGCAAAAUUGCUUUUCCUCUGCGCUGUUCCUUUAACUGAACCACAAGAUGCUCGUGUUCUGGAUGGAUAGGCCCAAAUCAUUCUCUACAAAUCAAACGUACAGGCCGACAGAGCUGCUGUCAAGUAGAUAUAUAACAGAGAGGAAGUACACGAAAUGGGUAGCAGUGCAUCUAAUAUAGUAAAUCAGCAAAACACACAAGAGCCUCUGGCCCUGGAGAGGAAAUCAAAUGUGAGACCAUCAAAUGCACGACACGUCAUUAUUGUAACGUCUCUGGGAAACAAUACCAUAACUCUGUACCAACCAAAAUUAAUAAACCACGAUUGUUUUAUCUUAAGGCCACAGCAUUUUUUGUAAACAAUAUUACUACAGUUCAAGGGCAUAGAUCAGGCAUAGGCAACCUUCGGCACUCCAGAUGUUUCGGACUACACCUCCCAUGAUGCUUUGUCAGCAUUAUGGGUGUAAGAGCAUUAUGGGGGAUGUAGUCCACAACAUCUGGAGUGCCGAAGGCUGUCUAUCCCUGACAUAGAUCAUAUUAGAAAUGCUCAUUAGAGAAGUAGAAAAACAGCAAUGUAAUCCAAGCACCAUCUCCUUCUAAUCAUGGGGACCACGUCCUAUUUCCUGACAUCCUCUCUUGUCCUACGGCCUUUCUGAUCCUCACUGGGUGGCUGAUUGUACUAGCAAGGGAAUACAGCUCAAAAGAUUUAUAUCACAUGUAGUAUAUGGGAAAUCCAGCCUUGUGCUGAUAAAUGUUGUGAUAUAAUCUAUAUCCAUGACAGGGUGACAAGCGGGGGUGGAUCCAGAGCUCAGUCUUGGGACAGAAACUGUACCAGACUAGUUUGUCUAGAUGUGGCUAAUAGAAAAGUAUUAUGUCUGUAGAAUUGACAAGCAUGUUGAUAGGGAUUGCAGAAACCAGAGUUUGAGAUUAGGGUUGUAACGGCACCCCGGGCAUAAAAGGUUUAAACUGCCAGUUAGUCGAUCUUCCCCUUCCAGAGAUACAGGCACAGCUACUGCAGAACACCAAACUCCCAAACUGCAUUCAAGUGAAUGCUCCAAACACCCGAACUGCAUACAAGGGAAUGCUCCAAACUCCCGAACUGGAACCUCACGAAUAGCUGCUAGCAGACGAACAGAAAAAGCACCCAAGCGGCUUACACUCCUGGCAAUCAGUCUCUAACAGCAUACAGUAAAUCUCCCCAAAGACGAGACAGAGCUCAGUGUUGGUUUAAUGAGGGCUACCUGCCCAGUAUUUAUGCAAGUCUCCCACCUGGUGGACACUCCCCUAGGGGACCAAAUAGGAGACUGUAACAAAGGACAGGCAUGAACCAAUGACAGACACACAGAGGUAAAACAUUCCUACAAUCCAUCCUAACUUCCCUGUAACGGAACCGCUGGCACCCCGACCGGGUACCUUCCGCCGACGGAUGCUCCUAGUGCUUUCCGAGGACUCCAAGCACUCUGCCUGACACCAUAACCACUGCAGACCCCACGAACCGCCGCAGCUUGGUUGGGGUCUCGCCGUCUCCACCCACUCUGGACCCAGGACCCGGGUCCAGCUUCCAGCAGGUCGACCUCUCUCUGAAUUCCAGAGAGCAGGAACAGGAACAAGCUCUUAGCAGAGCUUAGUGAUUAUACCCUGGGGAGUAUAGUGAUUAUAGCCAUCCCCAGAGUGUAGUUUCUCCAAUCCCCCAAACAUGAGCCGAAACUUCAUGAAGGUACAAGAUGAUCUGACUCCAAUGAGCGUUUAUUACUCCUUAUAUACAAGUUUUCAGGUCAGAGGCACACCCCCUGGACCUGGUGCUAAACUGUGACAAAAGGGACACAAACCAAUGGGAACACUAAUUAACAUGAUAACACUCUCACAUAAACAAUGAAAUCCCUCCUCUCCAUCCUGGAGAUAAUUGGCUUAAGGUACUGCAGUAAACUCAAUUAUCUCCAGGUACAGAAAAUAUCUACAUUUUACACUAACAGCAAAAAUACGUAAAAGUACAUAAAAAUACAUAAUUCUUAUUAUAUUACACAGAACCCCCACAUUUAACCUAUCCCCAGAUAGCUCGGAUCUGAGCGCCCAAUCUAGGUGAACAAUAGACAGGAAACGGGGGAGGGGAAGAAACACACCUUCCCAUGGAUUCCAAUGGGAAGAAACUGUCUUUAGAAGCCAAUAAGCCCCAAAUAGUCUUUUUUAACUGGCAAUACACCCCAGGGCCAUAGUCAUGAGGAAGGAGGCUGGCAAUCAGGCUCCUCCAAAAGCCGGGGGCAAAGGGCAGCUUGUCACCUAACAAUCCAGGGACAAAAGGCAUUUCGUCACAUUCCCUCCCUCUGUCCUGGAGAUAAUUGGGAAGUAAUCCAAUUAUCUUCCAGGACAGAGGUAAAACUCCAUUAACCACAUGGUUACAGUAAAACACAAUAAAAUACACCAUAUUACAUUUAACACACAAAAUAUAUACUUGCAACCCAUCCCCAGAUAGCUGGGAUCUGAGCGCACAAAAGUACCGAAUAGCGCUCAGAUCCUAUGCACACAGUCCAAUCGCCGUGGAGUUAAAGUGUUCCUAAAGUCUGUUCUCCAUACGAAUAGACUCCACGGGAUGGCUAUCUGGGGUAAUGCUGUUCAUACGGUUUAAACUACCGAAUGAACAGGCAUUCGGUUAACUGACCGAAUGCAGAAGCAAGGAGGCUGACGGCUCAGCGGUUUUCGAGCAAAUAAGUGUCCGUUUACAGUUCCACAGUUUGGGCGCUGAACACCGCUGGCCGUUCGGGACUUUAAAAUGUCCGCCGCCACGUGUUCGGCAACCGAACAAAGGCCACCCAGCAUUCGUCAAUUAAGCUGCGGUUAACCACAGCUUCUGGGAGGUUAAUUGCCAACACGCUCCAGCUCCCAGGUGUCCAGUCAUUCGUGCAUUCGUUCGGUAGAUUGAAUCUACCGACCGCCGGGCAGAAAGGCACGAAUAAGCCUUUUCUGCAGGGGAAAAGAAGUCUUUUAACAUGGGGCCAUAAUCCAAAGGCAACAGGCGAGCAACCAGGCUUCUCCAAUACAAUGUGGCGAGAUUGCUCUUGUCACAAGGGUCAAUGCCUCAUGGGCCUAGCGUAAGCAAAGGCACGGAGAGUUUUCUGGGUCUGUUUGAGGGUAAGCUGUUAGGAUUCAAAAUUCAGUUAUUGGGGGUCAGUGUUUCCAGUUAUUCGCAUGGAUUGUCAGUGCUUUAAGGUUUUAUGAGAUCAAUUGUAAACAUAACUAGAAAUAGUAAUGAAUAAUGUUCCAUUUCAAAGGUAUGCAUUUAAAACAAUUUAUCAUUACAGUGCCAUUACAAAUGGUUUUAUGUGAGUUAUACUUAGCUGAACCUUUCCCUCAUGUCCACUACCAUGAUCUUCCAUCCAGCCCUCUUCAGCUCUGGUGCUUCAGCUACCAGGAUCCAAUGUCAGUGCUGUACUCUUGCGCAUGCGUGAGAGCACGACACAAAGGUAUUUGGAGGAUCCCAUGAGAUCACAGGAUCCUCUAUAGAAGGGGUUCCCAAUUAAUUUUUCCCAUGGACAAACACAUACACAUAGUGUAUCAACAUCGUGGACACUGACAUACACCUUGGCACACAGAUACACACACAAUGGCACAUACACACAGAAACACACUGACAGAUACAAUUAUUAUUAUUAUUUAUAUAGCGCCAUCAGAUUCCGUAGCGCUGUACAAUAGGUGGACAAACAGACAUGUAAUUGUAAUGUACAGAAAUAGAGGGGGUGAAGGGCCCUGCUCAAUGAGCUUACAUUCUAGAGGGAGUGGGGUAUAGUGACACAAAGAGUAAAAGUAGGCGUACAAAGUAGGUUGUUUCUACGAAGUAGAAAAGUACUCACUGAGGGCUUAGUAGGUAGUUUUUGACACAGAUGCACACUAACACAUACACACACCUUCGCACAAUGAUACAUAUAUUGGCACUAUUGGCAUAUACACACUAACACAUACACACAGACACAUAGAUACACACACUAACAUAUACACAGAGUGACACAUACACACAGCUUGACACACACUUUAGAUAUCUAUUUAAAUAUUAGCAGAUGUCCCACUUAGAUAUAAACAGGGGAGAGAGAAAGAGAGGUGUGUUUUAUUUCUGUUGAAUUAACUUGAGGAAUUUAAAAAGUGAGCUGGAUGUCACCAUAACAGCUGUGUUGCUGUGCAUGCUAGGGUUAUCCUCAGUGUCAUAGAAUUUCUAUUUUCAAUAACGAGGAAGAUGGUUCCUGCUAAAUAAGCGUGUGAUGAAGUUGGCAGACGCUGGAACAGCUUUUCAGAGUAAUGCAUUGCAAUAUCACAUGCUUACUGAGACUAUGCAUAAGCUGACAGUUUACAGGCUAAACAUUGCUCUCAUUAUGGUCCUUAACCAGCAGAGAAACACAUUCAUUACCUGUACCAUCUUAUGGAACUGUCCGUUCUGUAGAAUCUGCACCAUUUAAAAAAAAAUCAUCUGUAACGUAUGUUAAUCUUUGGUUUUUUUUCAUAAGAUGCUCUGUUAUUUUACAUUUAUAUUUAAUAUAUAGCAAAUUACAUCAUAAACCAGUUCAGACAAGGCAAAGCCAGGGCAAACAUUGCAAUAGGAAUAUUUUAUUGUUUCAUUUCUCCUCCUCUCUGGCUGCCAGAUGCAAAGAACAGAACUUUUCAACAAUGAUUGGCAGGGAGCUAAGAUGGAGGUGCGCAGUUGCAGGAUAAAAAGGUGUAGAUUUAUAUGUUUCAUUUUAUUUUGCCCACCUCAUAAAUACAUAUGUGUUAAAGAUAGCGAAUAGUAAACAUAAGAUAAAAAAAACCCCACAGAACGUUUCCCUUUAAUUGAUAACUCUUCCCUGUGUUCUACAAGAAACAUCAAUAAUGUUAUCUUCGAAACACAGAUGCCUGUUUUUAACAAGGCAGUAUGCUUACUGAAUGUGCACCAGGCCAUAUGAAAAGGUGAGGCAAUGCAAAAACUCCAUUGCUGUGGGAUAAUGACCUAAAAGAAAUAUAUAAACAGCUUGCCUAUAGUAAGAUUGCACAUUUGUUAACCCAGAGAUUCACCACUAGAUUGCACUGUGCUUUUUCUCCAGGCUCUGACCUCCUUCCGAGUGCAGUCAUGCUGUGGGACUCUGCACUUGACCCCUUGUUUCCAGAUCCUCCUGUUCAUUCUGUUGCCUUUAAAACACGGAACAUACACAAGCUGCUACAUAGAAACCCACCAAACACAGAAGCCAAACUGGAACUGUUGAGGAAACUGCGAAGCCCCCGUGAAGACUUUCCUCUCCCACCCAGUGCUGGCUACAUCACUUGGCUGGAGGUCAGCAACUUACCUCCACUCAUUCCAUUGCGUCCAGACAUGCCGUAUGACAGCGCAGUAUGGAGGCAAUUGACUGCAGUUCCCUCAAGACCAUCGGGGAUGAAGCCCAUUCCACCACCUUCUCGUAUGGAGGAGAACACUUGGGGAAAGUAUGUACGGAGUAAAGGCAUCAGAAGAGAAGACUGGGAGACACGUUCACUACUGAUGCGCAGCCUGGCCAGAGUGCCCCCCACUGAUCCCCAAGGAAACAUUCUCCCACCUCAGGGCUUCAAAC